GGGGAACUGAUUGGGAGGAGGUAGGUGUGGGAGAAUACAGGACUGGGGAACAUUGGGAGGAGGUAGGUGUGGGAGAAUACAGGACUGGGGAACUGAUUGGGAGGAGGUAGGUGUGGGAGAAUACAGGACUGGGGAACAUUGGGAGGAGGUAGGUGUGGGAGAAUACAGGGCUGGGGAACUGAUUGGGAGGAGGUAGGUGUGGGAGAAUACAGGACUGGGGAACAUUGGGAGGAGGCAGGUGUGGGAGAAUACAGGACUGGGGAACUGAUUGGGAGGAGGUAGGUGUGGGAGAAUAGAGGACUGUGGAACUGAUUGGGAGGAGGUAGGUGUGGGAGAAUACAGGACUGGGGAACUGAUUGGGAGGAGGUAGGUGUGGGAGAAUACAGGACUGCGGAACUGAUUGGGAGGAGGUAGGUAUGGGAGAAUACAGGACUGGGGAACUGAUUGGGAGGAGGUAGGUGUGGGAGAAUACAGGACUGGGGAACAUUGGGAGGAGGUAGGUGUGGGAGAAUACAGGACUGGGGAACUGAUUGGGAGGAGGUAGGUGUGGGAGAAUACAGGACUGGGGAACAUUGGGAGGAGGUAGGUGUGGGAGAAUACAGGACUGGGGAACUGAUUGGGAGGAGGUAGGUGUGGGAGAAUACAGGACUGGGGAACUGAUUGGGAGGAGGUAGGUAUGGGAGAAUACAGGGCUGGGGAACUGAUUGGGAAGAAGUAGGUGUGGGAGAAUACAGGACUGGGGAACUGAUUGGGAGGAGGUAGGUGUGGGAGAAUACAGGACUGGGGAACUGAUUGGGAGGAGGUAGGUGUGGGAGAAUACAGGACUGGGGAACUGAUUGGGAAGAAGUAGGUGUGGGAGAAUACAGGACUGGGGAACUGAUUGGGAGGAGGUAGGUGUGGGAGAAUACAGGACUGGGGAACUGAUUGGGAGGAGGUAGGUGUGGGAGAAUACAGAACUGGGGAACUGAUUGGGAGGAGGUAGGUAUGGGAGAAUACAGGACUGGGGAACUGAUUGGGAGGAGGUAGGUAUGGGGGAAUACAGGGGUGGGGAACUGAUUGGGAUGAAGUAGGUGUGGGAGAAUACAGGACUGGGGAACUGAUUGGGAGGAGGUAGGUGUGGGAGAAUACAGGACUGGGGAACUGAUUGGGAGGAGGUAGGUAUGGGAGAAUACAGGACUGGGGAACUGAUUGGGAGGAGGUAGGUGUGGGAGAAUACAGAACUGGGGAACUGAUUGGGAGGAGGUAGGUAUGGGAGAAUACAGGGCUGGGGAACUGAUUGGGAAUGGUAGGUGUGGGAGAAUACAGGACUGGGGAACUGAUUGGGAGGAGGUUGGUGUGGGAGAAUACAGGACUGGGGAACUGAUUGGGAGGAGGUAGUUGUGGGAGAAUACAGGACUGGGGAACUGAUUGGGAGGAGGUAGGUGUGGGAGAAUACAGGACUGGGGAACUGAUUGGGUAGAAGUAGGUGUGGGAGAAUACAGGACUGGGGAACUGAUUGGGAGGAGGUAGGUGUGGGAGAAUACAGGGCUGGGGAACAGAUUGGGAGGAGGUAGGUGUGGGAGAAUACAGGGCUGGGGAACUGAUUGGGAGGAGGUAGGUGUGGGAGAAUACAGGGCUGGGGAACUGAUUGGGAGGAGGUAGGUGUGGGAGAAUACAGGACUGGGGAACUGAUUGGGAGGAGGUAGGUGUGGGAGAAUACAGGGCUGGGGAACUGAUUGGGAGGAGGUAGGUGUGGGAGAAUACAGGGCUGGGGAACUGAUUGGGAAGAAGUAGGUGUGGGAGAAUACAGGACUGGGGAACUGAUUGGGAGGAGGUAGGUGUGGGAGAAUACAGGGCUGGGGAACUGAUUGGGAGGAGGUAGGUGUGGGAGAAUACAGUACUGGGGAACUGAUUGGGAGGAGGUAGGUGUGGGAGAAUACAGGACUGGGGAACUGAUUGGGAGGAGGUAGGUGUGGGAGAAUACAGGGCUGGGGAACUGAUUGGGAGGAGGUAGGUAUGGGAGAAUACAGGACUGGGGAACUGAUUGGGAGGAGGUAGGUGUGGGAGAAUACAGGACUGGGGAACUGAUUGGGAAGAAGUAGGUGUGGGAGAAUACAGGGCUGGGGAACUGAUUGGGAGGAGGUAGGUGUGGGAGAAUACAGGGCUGGGGAACUGAUUGGGAAGAAGUAGGUGUGGGAGAAUACAGGACUGGGGAACUGAUUGGGAGGAGGUAGGUGUGGGAGAAUACAGGACUGGGGAACUGAUUGGGAGGAGGUAGGUAUGGGAGAAUACAGGACUGGGGAACUGAUUGGGAGGAGGUAGGUGUGGGAGAAUACAGGACUGGGGAUCUGAUUGGGAGGAGGUAGGUGUGGGAGAAUACAGGACUGGGGAACUGAUUGGGAGGAGGUAGGUAUGGGAGAAUACAGGACUGGGGAACUGAUUGGGAAGAAGUAGGUAUGGGAGAAUACAGGGCUGGAGAACUGAUUUGGAAGAAGUAGGUGUGGGAGAAUACAGGGCUGGGGAACUGAUUGGGAGGAGGUAGGUGUGGGAGAAUACAGGGCUGGAGAACUGAUUGGGAGGAGGUAGGUAUGGGAGAAUACAGGGCUGGAGAACUGAUUGGGAGGAGGUAGGUGUGGGAGAAUACAGGGCUGGGGAACUGAUUGGGAGGAGGUAGGUAUGGGAGAAUACAGGACUGGGGAACUGAUUGGGAGGAGGUAGGUGUGGGAGAAUACAGGACUGGGGAACUGAUUGGGAGGAGGUAGGUGUGGGAGAAUACAGGACUGGGGAACAAUGGGAGGAGGUAGGUGUGGGAGAAUACAGGGCUGGGGAACUGAUUGGGAGGAGGUAGGUGUGGGAGAAUACAGGG